rnacentral:rRNA from 1 species
UACGUAGGCAGCAAGCGUUGUUCGGAAUUACUGGGCGUAAAGGGUGCGUAGGUGGGUCUGUAAGUCCGUGGUGAAAUCUCCGAGCUUAACUUGGAAACUGCCAUGGAUACUAUAGGUCUUGAAUACUGUGGAGGUCAGCGGAAUAUGUCAUGUAGCGGUGAAAUGCUUAGAUAUGACAUAGAACACCAAUUGCGAAGGCAGCUGGCUACACAAAUAUUGACACUGAGGCACGAAAGCGUGGGGAUCAAACAGG